UAUGCAUCUAGAUUAGUUUGAUCAUGGCUCAGAUUGAACGCUAGCGGGAUGCUUUACACAUGCAAGUCGAACGGCAGCACGAGAUAAGCUUGCUUAUCUUGGUGGCGAGUGGCGAACGGGUGAGUAACGUAUCGGAACGUGCCCAGUAGCGGGGGAUAACUACGCGAAAGCGUGGCUAAUACCGCAUACGCCCUACGGGGGAAAGGGGGGGAUUCUUCGGAACCUCUCACUAUUGGAGCGGCCGAUAUCAGAUUAGCUAGUUGGUGGGGUAAUGGCCUACCAAGGCCGCGAUCUGUAGCUGGUUUGAGAGGACGACCAGCCACACUGGGACUGAGACACGGCCCAGACUCCUACGGGAGGCAGCAGUGGGGAAUUUUGGACAAUGGGGGCAACCCUGAUCCAGCCAUCCCGCGUGUGCGAUGAAGGCCUUCGGGUUGUAAAGCACUUUUGGCAGGGAAGAAAAGGCGCGGGCUAAUAUCCUGCGCCGCUGACGGUACCUGCAGAAUAAGCACCGGCUAACUACGUGCCAGCAGCCGCGGUAAUACGUAGGGGUGCCAAGCGGUUUAAUUCGGGAAAUUUAACUGGGGCGGUUAAAAGCGGUGCGUUCGGGCGGGUUUUGGGCAAAGAAAGGUGUGAAAUCCCAGGGGCUUAACCCUUGGAACUGCA
rnacentral:rRNA from 2 species